GAGGGUAUAGCUCAAGUGGUAGAGCGUGUGCUUAGCAUGCAUGAGGUUCUGGGUUCAAUCCCCAGUACCUCCA
rnacentral:tRNA from 1 species